rnacentral:rRNA from 1 species
UACAGAGGGGGCAAGCGUUGUUCGGAAUUACUGGGCGUAAAGGGCGCGUAGGCGGGCCGGCCAGUCAGGGGUGAAAGCCCGCGGCUCAACCGCGGAAGCGCCUCUGAUACUGCCGGCCUGGAGGGGGGUAGGGGCGCGCGGAACUUCCGGUGGAGCGGUGAAAUGCGUAGAUAUCAGGAAGAACACCAAUGGCGAAGGCAGCUCUCUGGGACGGUACUGACGCUGAGACGCGAAAGCGUGGGGAGCGAACAGG